GGGAAUGCCAGCUGGGGAGCCCACCUUGGACCUUGGAGACGAAGCCGAGGCUGCGCUUGAGGUCGGAGCAGAUGGAGUGGAGGCACCAGCGGAACUUGGCGUCACAGCGAUGGUGAUGCACUGCCACGUUUUGCAAAUCGUUUCUAUUCCUUUAAUCCCUGCACCUCCCUCACUCUGCUUCUUAAUAUGCAUAAAGGAGCAAGAAUUCCCUCUAUGAGUAAUUAUUUACCUAAUGCAGAAAGAGUCCAGCAAACAUUAACAGGAAAACAAAAGCAGAUCAGAAAUACCAGGCGUUCCCGACUCUCCACGAGCAUCAAAUCCCUGCUCCUGUUACCACUUAUUGCUUGCCCAUUCUUGCAGUCAAGAAAAUAUAUUCCAGGGCACUGCCUUGUUGGCAGAGCCUUGGAGCUGAAGCUGAGUCUCCCUGCUGCAUUUUAAGGUCUCCAGGCUGUUGUAGCUUCCCCAGAGGCUGGAGAGCAGCCAGCUGGCUGAGCAGCUGCUGGCCAUGCAGGAGGUCCCACACACUGCAGUGCUGGGACCCUGGCAGGGGG